ACAGCAGUCGCCGCGGUAAAACGUAGGGUGCAAGCGUUAAUCGGAAUUACUGGGCGUAAAGCGUGCGCAGGCGGUUAUAUAAGACAGAUGUGAAAUCCCCGGGCUCAACCUGGGAACUGCAUUUGUGACUGUAUAGCUAGAGUACGGCAGAGGGGGAUGGAAUUCCGCGUGUAGCAGUGAAAUGCGUAGAUAUGCGGAGGAACACCGAUGGCGAAGGCAAUCCCCUGGGCCUGUACUGACGCUCAUGCACGAAAGCGUGGGGAGCAAACAGGAUUAGAUACCCGCGUAGUCCCUGUCUCUUAUAC
rnacentral:rRNA from 1 species